rnacentral:rRNA from 1 species
UACGAAGGGGGCUAGCGGUGUUCGGAAUUACUGGGCGUAAAGGGCGCGUAGGCGGCCUUGUCAGUCAGAAGUGAAAGCCCCGGGCUCAACCUGGGAAUUGCUUUUGAUACUGCAAGGCUAGAGUUUCGGAGAGGAUGGUGGAAUUCCCAGUGUAGAGGUGAAAUUCGUAGAUAUUGGGAAGAACACCGGUGGCGUAGGCGGCCAUCUGGACGAACACUGACGCUGAGGCGCGAAAACGUGGGGAGCAAACAGG